GGUGGUGGAAGUGCCUUUGGAACCGGUGGAGGUUUGUAUACUGGAACAGGUGGUAAAACUGGAUGUUCAACCUUUGGUGGUGGACAUGGUUUCUUGACCGGAACCGGUGGUGGUUGUGGCUUUGGAACUGGAGGAGGUUUGUAUACUGGAGCAGGUGGUAGAACUGGAUGUUCAACCUUUGGUGGUGGACAUGGUUUCUUGACUGGAACAGGAGGAGGAAGAGGUUUAUGAUAUACAGGCGUAGGUGGAGGGAGAGGUUUAUGAUAAACAGGCACAGGUGGAGGAAGAGGUUUCUCAUACACAGGUGUAGGUGGAGGGAGAGGUUUAUGGUAAACAGGCACAGGCGGAGGAAGAGGUUUCUCGUAGACAGGUGUAGGUGGAGGAAGAGGUUUCUCAUAAACAGGUGUAGGAGGAGGGAUAGGUUUUUCAUAGAUAG
rnacentral:lncRNA from 1 species